GCUGCGUUCCGCGGCAGCUAAGCGGCCGGUCUACAGGCCGGUACGGUAGCGUUACGUAUCAUAUAAAAAUAACAAAAAAAAAAAAAAAACUUUUGACCAGCGGCCGUCAAAGUUCUUUGAUGGCUGCAAUGCACGUUGGAAUGGAGCGGUUGUCGAGAGUUAGCAGCCGUGGGACAGAGUACUUGGGCUUCAUGCCGGUCGCCGAAGGUGUUAGCCCGGAGCUAGCCGUUAGCCCGGAGCUAGCCGUUAGCCCGGAGCUAGCCGUUAGCCAAACACGGAGACGGGAAGACUCGUCCGGCACAGGGGAGAAGACGGUCCGUAUUGUGGCAGUGGGCGAGGCACGGAGGACGGGCGGGAGGCAGCCGACAGCCAGCUACCAACGGCAGAGCGCUGGGACGAUGGAGAAAUCCGGGUGUUCGCCGCUGACAGCGGGAGGCGGCCAACAAUCCGCUGAUGUUGGAGGAGAUGUCGGGAGGAGUACGACGAGCUGCUGCAGACCUGCAAGGAGAAGCUGCAUGACUUGGGGCGUCCCUCUGUACGACUUUCCCUUCAGGCCUUCGGAGCAGACCCUGGGGGGACGCGACUCCCUGGGGGGACGCGACUCCCUGGGACCUGCCUCAAAAGAGCGAACCCGUCCGGGUGGCGUCCACUCGCCUCCAAGCUCCACCUGACCUCUCCAUCACUUGAUCACAUGACGUAAUGAAUGAUAAACCUUUAGGUGUUAAUAUGUAUUUUUACUUAUUUUAUUUGUUUACUCGCCCUGUUUCAUGUAAUGUGUCAGUCUGAUCGCAGGAAUUCAAAAAUUAUCGAUAAAGGAACCCAAAAACAUAUUAUUUUUAUAAAUCCAAGGUUUUGUAUAUAAAUAUUAAAUCUCUGAAGUUGUGACACACUUGUUUUAUUUAUUUUAGUUUAGUUUUUUUUUAUAGAGAUUAUUAGAUGAAUGUGAGUCACACACACACAUUUCAUUAGUUUGCAGAUGAUGUAUUUGUAUUCAUACACGUCUCAUUAUCUCUUUUUUUCUUAGAGAUUUUACAUCCAUGAUUUUAGAAACAUAAAAAAAUACAACUGAAAAUGUACAUCAUACAUGUGAUACAUAUACACGUUCUGUUUUUUUACAUAGUUAAAAAUAUGACUUAUAUAAAAAGGACAAACCAACGACUACGACCAUUUCUCUUUUUCGUUUUCACACAGUUAUUAUUUUGUGAAAUACACAUCAGGAGAUAAAUGAAGCGACUUCAGGCACUUUCCUUAAACAGCUGAACACACGACUGCGUCUGAAGACAGGGACAGACAGACAGACGGACGGGGACAGACUUCAUGUUGGACGCCUUCAGGCUUCGGCCUCGAGUCUCUGGACGUUUGAUAUAAAUUCUUUCUGAUUCACGCAUUUUGUGGCAUUUUGUCACUGACUUGAACCCUGGUGGACGGAUAGCACUGGUCCCACUGUAACGCUUUCACAGCACACCAGUUCAACGAGAAACGCUCACAAUUAUUACAAAAAAAAUCCACUGCUUUGUGUUUUUAUAUGAAAAUCUGUUGAUCUUCGUGUGCUUCAGAAGCCACAAGUUUAAGCCGAUGGCGACGACGAGUUCGGCAUCAUGACGCGUUCGACCUACGAGAACAUUUUGUAUUUCCGUUGAGCUCCGCCUCCUCCUGAAUAUUCAUUACUGCCUUUUAAAACUUUUAACUUUUAAGAAAAAAAUACUAAAAAGAUAUUUGUUUGAUAUGAGUAUCAGUUGCUUUAUUUGGGACCGUAGGACUUUAGUUGCUUAAAUUAUUCAUGUUCAUUGAAAGAAACUUUAGA
ensembl:lncRNA